GAAAAAAAAGUAUGACAGAUAAAAAAUUGAACAUUUCCUUCUCUCCCAUAUGUCAUUAAUAUCAUCUUUAGUCGAUCGGUGGCAGUGUAGCUUUUUCUUCCAAGCUCCCCAUAAAAGCCGCUAUGUUUUUAGUUCCCCUCGAUACGGCUUUGUUCAGAUGGCGGUACGAUGGAUGCACGACAUCGACGGGAAUUCUCGGCUACACGUGGCGGAAUUACGUACUUAAAUACUAUGUCGCGCAGACUAGAAGCGUCACAUCGCUCUCAGGAUCACAGUAGUGAUCUCUUAAGUUCAUCUCGCGUGACAAUCGUGGGUUCUCUCCUUCGCAUAAGCCCGACGACGCCGCUGGAUAUCCUAGACACAAAUUCAACGAAAUUAAAUCCGCGCAUUCUGGUCGUACUUUGCGUACAUUGUCGAGUGUAAUUGAUUACCGGCUGUAAAUCUCUCGUGGAUUGUGGUUGAAAUAUCUAACACGAACGACACGUUAAAAGAGGAAAACUUAGCGUGUUUGAGAGCGGUGUUUUAAUUUUUAUAUUUGAUGUUCCCCAGCGAUACGGCGGCAAUUGUGAGACGCAGCUGAUCACAUGUCACGCGUCUUCCAAAAUCACACGUGUCACACAUCUGUCAUAUUCGCGGACGCAGCGCGAAUAUAUUUCAUAUGCGUAUUUUCAUCAAAGGAUAUACAAUAAGGACGAGUUUGAUUGAUUAAACAGUGUACAGCCACAUGUGGAUAACCUCGACGUGGCUUCUCUCGCAUGACAUAAUACGUUGAUACGUGUAUUGCGUGUGUAAACGACAUAUAUACAAGAUACCCGAUACUGCAAAAUGGAAAAUGUAUCGAUGUUCUUUGGAACGAAAAAUCCCAAUUGUCCGGAGCAUCUUUGACGAAGCUGAGGUUGUUAAUGCCCUCAUCGAUCAUGGAUUGUGUAAGUUUCAUUCACAUGAUCCACGUCGAAGCUACAGGGACACAGGUUCAUUUGGACACAGUCACUUAUAUCGACCCGUGCUUAGGAUAUCUAGAUACGAUUGACCAAUCAAAGAGUCUGUGUUUAACUGAUAAUAAGUAAUGCAUCCAAUUGAAUGCCAUCCAAAGUAGCAGACUAAUCGGAUAUCGUUUGAACGCGGUGCGGAAACUGGGGCUCCCAGUCGAGAUCCCAGGAUCACAACUGAUUACAAGCAACUGGCCUUGAAGACGUCAUUAAGAAGUGGCUGCACUUGUCAUAAUUGUUUCAUUAUCCUCGAUCUAAGCGAUCUAAACGAGCCCGAAGAACGCACGUGUCACGUAAACGAUUGUAAAUCUCGAAUUAUCGAGGGAGAAAUAUCGAUUAAAUCUGGAACGUACGUACCUCCCGAAGGUACAGAAUGCGAUUUGUACGCGCGAGGUUAUCUUCAUAUUAUCUCUCUGAUGCGAUACCACGCUGACGAGCAUAAUGUGACGUUCUCGAUAAACAAUUUCUUUUUUUUUUUUUUUUUUGCGAUUCACGCCAACUAUGCCGCAAUGUAUAUGUGCUAAUUGUAUCAUCGAUAGCGUGUGUAAUAGAGGUGCUAUUAACGGUUAUAUAUCUUCAUGGAACUGUCGCAUAUAUUAAAUUGCUUGCCCUCUGAAACUCUUGUCAGUAUAGUGGCAAUGUUUCUCGAUAACGCGUCAAUUAAUAGUGCAGACAAUAGUGUUGGAGGAAACGAACGGCCAGUGUGUUUAUCAGUAGUAGUACCAUGUAUGCGAUGCAAUUGCCCAAGUCAGAAACCGCAGCAGACUCGCUGCCAAUUAUUCAAUGGCGUCAAGGAUAUUAUAUUUGAGCUAUGUCUUCACUCGCAGAAAGCACAAGAGAUCUAGCGGUAAAACUGGAUGACACUUUCAUCGACGUUCCACGGAUAUCUUCUUUAGCAGCAUUAUUUCUUUGAUAGUCAAACCAAAGAUCUUUGAUGAACAUCUUUGAUGAACAUCUUUGAUGCGCAUCUUUGGAUCCUUGAAGUUUAGGAAAAUUAAGAUUCUAAAUAAUUUACUUGAAACAUUGACGUUAAAAUAGAAACCGACGAGGGUGAAUUUGGGGGAAAACCUUGUGUAUCAUAUAAGAUUUUCGCGUUUGAUAUCUCAUGUAAAUUCUUUUGAGCCUUCGCGCUUAUUUUAGGACAUGCCGUGACUACGUAAUUCAUACAUAACUAAAUAAUACUACGUAACAUAUUUUUUGAGAAUAUUAUGCAAUUUCAAUACAUCUUAUAGUUCCCUUAGUCAACUCGCAAGGCAAGAGCGAGAAACGUAAGACUAACCUUUAAG